UUGAGAAGCAAAAAGGAAAAAAAAGGCCCAGUGAGGCGCCAAAAUCGAGCCUAAUAGCUUGGACAACAAAAAACUCAGUGGUCAACAGUCAAGCAGCAUGGUCGUUAGAUGAGAUUUGCAUUGGAUCUGAUUUUGACAAAUGUGAACGCGCGUUCCACAUGCAUGUAUGUGAUCCACUAGUUUGUCUUAUGUGUUUUGUCUUAUUUGCUACACAUAACCCAUGGUCAUGCGCCACGUGGCACGGAUCAGAAAAAAAAAACAA
rnacentral:lncRNA from 1 species